UGGAGUUUUUAGCCUUUUAACAUUCAAGGAUUAGAGCUCCCUCUUUGCCCACUAGCAGGGCAUUAGCUGGUGCUGAAGACAGUGGCUGCUUGGCGAGCCUGGAUCUCCAAGUGACUCCAAGUGACCCCCUCAGCAACUCCUGAUGAACAGGACUGAAGCCAAUAUUAAAGCAAGUCAACCAAAGAUUCUCUGGUGUAGACAAGACAGCAAAAGGACAGACUACCUUGUGGAACCUAGCAUUGUUCUCCUUCUGCAGCACUAAGUAACAUUUGUGCUCCGUUAAGAUCUUUGCAAACCACACACAAGAAUUGCUGGUCAUCCUGCCAAUAGAUGCUGCUCACAGAACCAAAUUUCCUGUGCUGAAUUGUCACUCAUGGGCUUGAGAGUAGGAGACUGGAGACCAAGGUGGCUAGAAUCCAGUUGGGCCUGAUGUCUCCCUGUUGAAAGGGCUCCUUGUGGAAUAAACAGCACAUGGCUCCCGUGGUGGAUCUGAUAGUGGCACAGCACCAAGUGAUGCAGGCCUGCCAGGGGCCACAGACACAGAAGAUGCUCCCAGGGUCCCCCGUGUACUCCAGACACACUGCAGGCCACCUCUCCCAGCAGGUUGCCAGUCAUGGGCCCCAUCAUCAUGACUUCUGUCCAAGGUACUGUGUGCAGAAAUGUGAUUGAGAUUCAAGUCAGGGCCUCUCUGCCCUUUUCCCUCCAGAAACAAAACCAAGAUAAUUUAUCCUGAACACGGUGAAAAAAGGAAGGGAGGGAGGAGAAAAAGUCCGGGUCUCACCUGGGAUUCUCUGUCUCCUGCAACAUGAAGGAUUUAGCCUGGGAGGAGGUGGUGAGAACUCUGGGAGAGAAAAAAGAAGGAAAGAAUAGUUUUACCCAUGCUGAAGUUAAUUUAAACCUUCACCUAGAGAAGCAAAAAAACCCCCACACUUUUCCAUUUUGUGCCUCCCUUCCUAGAGUUUUAGCCAAAGGUUUAGCUAAGUAAUUGGUUUUACCAGGGCACUCACUCUUCCUAUCCCGAGUCUGUUUGACUCCCUCCCCAUCAUCCUCCUCACCUCUUUUCAGGCAGGGUGGGGAUAGCAGCAGGAGGAGAUUUUGGGAGCCUGGCAACUCCUGCAAGGACCGCAGGACAGCCCCUCUGUGGGGAUGCGUGGUGCCCCAUCUGCCGCCCUUCUGAAGAAUGCACUGCCUUCACUUUUUACUGUGUUAGAGUCCAUCCAGACUGUUCUAUCCAAAAAAGAGUUUCUUUUUCCCCCACAGGCAAUCAGGAAAUGAUUCCUUUCCCAACUGCUUCUGUCUAGUGCCUGGGAAUCUUGAGUCAAUCCCUCAGUAAGUCAGUGACUAUAGAAAUCCCUCUCUGAGCCUCCCAGUUCAUGUUGCUUAGGGAACCUGAUAUUUUCAUGAAACCUGCCUACACAUGGGCAGCCCAACAGCAGAACAAAUGGUGGUGACCAAAGUGAACAAAGAAGUAUAGUUGUGCCAGCUUCGUAGUUGCCCAUGUGGACAAGUCAGCAGGAUCAGGACACGAGGAAGAGUAAAUGUGAGACAGUCAAUGUGACUUCUGCGAUAAACAGAUUUUUAAACCCCGAAAUUUUGCAAAAUUUUGGUGAAACCUGAACUUUCUUCGUUGCAUAUACUGGCACUAUCUGUACCAUCAUACAACUGUCUCACAUUAAAGCUAUUUUUCUUGGGCACUGAUGAGCAAGGUUGGUAUGUUUGAGUUCCUCAGAUCAACAAAAACCCAUUUUCCUAUAAGUCUUACAUUUAGUAUUUAAGGAACUAAAACUUAAAUACAUUUUGUGAAAUGGUUGACACUUCACUGAUAAUGAUUUAUUGCUUGGAUUAAUAAAUUUUCCAAAAGUUGUCUUAUUAUGUAGAAUAUGGUUUGCAACCAGCAGAACCAUUAAUCUAUACUGCAAUGAUAUGCACUAUGUAUAAUUGUUUAAAAGCCUCUACUUAAUGAUGUAAAAUGCUCUAUUUAAUUACACAUUUGGGUAAACUGUAUACUAACAUCUGAUGGCAUUUUUCCACUGUUUGUUGCUUUUUUCAAAUACUUUAUUGUACAAAGCUGUUCUUAAUAUUGUUCAAGUUUUUUUUCUUUGAAUUUUGCUAAUGUUUUCCUUGAAUUAUGAGCACUGACAGAAUGUGCUUAGCACUUUUGGCUAUUCACACAGCUUUUGAGCAUGAUUUGCAUCCAAUAUUUACAUUGCUAGCAAUAAUAAGCCAUCUGUGAGUUUUGUCAAAAGUUAUUGGGGAUUUUUUAAAUUUUAGAAGUGCAAAUUAUUGUUUCUUUGAACUAACUCUUAUGCAGUUGCAAAGGCAUUUCCAGUUGUUAUAGUUUAUGUAUAAUAUCAGGUGUUCCAGAUUAUGAUUCAUUAUUAAUAUCAUUGCUUCCUUGUUCCCUGAGGUCCAGAAGAUUCAUGUUUACAAUAUUUAGAAACAAUGUUAAAAAGGU
rnacentral:antisense_RNA from 1 species